CCUAUGGGAGGCAGCAGUGAGGAAUAUUGGUCAAUGGACGAGAGUCUGAACCAGCCAAGUAGCGUGAAGGAUGACUGCCAUAUGGGUUGUAAACUUCUUUUAUAAAGGAAUAAAACGAGGCACGGGUGCCUUUUUGCAUGUACUUUAUGAAUAAGGAUCGGCUAACUCCGUGUCAGCAGCAGCGGUAAUACGGAGGAUCCGAGCGUUAUCCGGAUUUAGGGGGUUUAAAGGGCGCGUAGAUGGGUUGUUAAGUCAGUGGUGAAAGUUUGCGGCUCAACCGUAAAAUUGCAAUUGUUACUGGCAGUCUUGAGUACAGUUGAGGUAGGCAGAAUUCGUUGUGUAGCGGUGAAAUGCUUAGAUAUCACGAAGAACCCCGAUUGCGAAGGCAGCUUACUAAACUGUGACUGACAUUGAUGCUCGAAAGUGUGGGUAUCAAACAGGAUUAGAUACCCUUGUAGUC
rnacentral:rRNA from 1 species